rnacentral:rRNA from 1 species
CCUACGGGAGGCAGCAGUGGGGGAUAUUGCACAAUGGGGGAAACCCUGAUGCAGCGACGCCGCGUGUGGGAAGACGGUCUUCUGGAUUGUAAACCACUGUCCCCAGGGACGAAAAUGACGGUACCUGGGGAGGAAGCUCCGGCUAACUACGUGCCAGCAGCCGCGGUAAUACGUGGGGAGCAAGCGUUGUCAGGAAUUACUGGGUGUAAAGGGAGCGUAGGGGGGGAGGAAAGAUGGGUGUAAAAACUAUCGGCUCAACCGAUACUCGCACUCGAGACUGAAGCUCUUGAGUGAAGUAGAGGCAGGCGGAAUUCCGAGUGGAGCGGUGAAAUGCGUAGAUAUUAGGAGGAACACCAGUGGCGAAGGCGGCCUACUGGGCCUUUACUGACGCUGAGGCUCGAAAGUGUGGGGAGCAAACAGGAUUAGAUACCCUUGUAGUC